UUUGGUGGUUUAUGUGGCUUUUCUUUUCUUUUUUAAGACACACUUUUUAAUGGUCUUGGGCUAGGAGCCAUUAUUGGCCUCGGAGUCGCUGCCCUCUUGCUAAUCCUUGUGAUAACAGAUGUCAGCUGCUUCUUCAUUCGACAAUGUGGGUUACUAAUGUGCAUUACUAGGAGAAUGUGUGGGAAGAAAAGUGGCUCCAGUGGAAAAAGUAAAGAACUUGAAGAAGGAAAGGCGGCGUACCUGAAAGAUGGGUCAAAAGAACCAAUAGUGGAAAUGAGAACAGAGGAUGAAAGAAUCACUAAUCAUGAAGAUGGCAGUCCAGUGAAUGAGCCAAACGAAACCACACCAUUAACAGAACCUGAAAAAUUGCCUUUAAAAGAAGACAAUGGAAAAGAAGUCCUAAAUGCAGAAACUAUAGAAAUUAAAGUGUCUAAUGACAUAAUCCAGUCUAAAGAAGAUGACAGCAAAGCAUGACCACAAGUUUCAGCACCUUGGUUAGCACCGCAAAGAGCAAUUGGAUUGCCGUGAAACUUUGACCAAAACUAUUCCAUUGACCUUAAUUUCUUGGAAAACGUCUAGCUUGGAAUAGCUUGUACACAUAUACAUAUGAUCAAUUCCUCCUGUCACAGUUCAUUUCCUUCUGUUAUUGCUGUUGUGGUUGUUGGUUUUGUUAAGUAUUUCAGUAUAAAGUCUUGAUUGGCACCAGUUUUGGGUAUCAGUUUGAUUCUAUGACUGAAGUAUUGCAAUUUAUUAUAUGGCUAAAGGGCUUUUCUUUUUAAAAUUUUGUUUCAUGUAGCACCAACGGAUGUAUUUCAGCUCUCAAAAAUAUUAGGUUGUGAUAGAAGGCAGAGCAAAAUUAUUCUGAGAUAAAUGUGUACAAAAGCCCUGCAUGUUUAUGAAUCUUAUCUUGGGCAAACACACUAUUAAAAUGGCUUUCAGAUUAAGAUGAAGGCACAUAACAAAGGUUAUACUUUUUAUCAAGAAAAUUUCAGGGAACCCAGGCUGGAAGGAGCCAGUCAGUUAUCUUUUGCAGAUAUUAGAAAGUGAAAAAAUGUUAGAGAACUCGUUUCAACAUAUGACCACAUUGCAUUUUUGACAUUGAUCUUGGAUAUAGUGAUACCAGAUCUAAACUGUUACACAUCAGAAAGAAGAUUAGUUGUGUGUAAAAUUAGAUUAGAAAAACUCCCUAAAUCUCUUUUUAUGUAUACCAUAUUCACUCACAGAGGAUUACACAAAACGUAAAUGUAUUACAAGUAAAAAUGGUAUUGAUUUCUGCCCUCAGCUUCAAAUAAAGUGAAUUUAAAUGGGAAAAUACCAAUAUGCUUUCUUGAUAUAUUUAUAAAUACAUGAUUAUUUUUAUUUAUAUAAAUAUAAUUUAUCAAAAAUAAAGUUCUUUUUAAGUACUUUGAGUCAUAUUAGAUAUGUUUUGGUAUAUAGAUUUAGGUGGUCAUUAUUAUUAUUAUUAUUAUGUGUCCCUCUUUAAAUGAAAGUGGCUAAUAACAUUGAAAGUAUAUAUUAGAGUAAACUAAUUAAACAUUCAAAUGUUCCAAGAGGAUUGAAGAACUGAAAUGCUACUAUUGACUUAUUUUCAAAUAGUACAUUUUAAAAUCCAUUUUACACCAAUUUUAAGGUAUUUAAUAAACAGCUACAGUUAAAACAAUCAUUUAGCUAUUCUAUGUAGACUUUCUAAUAUUAUUUCUUAAGGACUACACAAGAAUAUGAUAGUUACUAACUUACAAGCUAUGCAAACUCCCUGAGGUCAAAGUCUGAACUAUGAUUUAACGUAUGUAAAAGGAAAAAUAAAAGAUUUGUAGCUAUCAAUAUACAUAGGUGGGGAGCAGGGUUAAAUGAUUUCUUAAGUCAGAGUUCCUAAAGCUACUUUAGUCUCCCUCUUCCUCACAGACUUUGGUGUUCUGGUACCAAGUGAAUAGCUCCAAUAUUGGUGCAUUUGAGACCACAUUCUUAUAGUUCAUUGGAUGAAUAUUUUUAACACUGAAGAUGGCCCUGCUCUUAUACUAUGAGGUAAUUUCUUGAAAAUUAUAUACAACAUUAGUGCCACUCUGGAAUGCUUCUCUUGGUAAAGCACUUAAACUUGCCAUCCAAGGAGAAAUAAAUGUUUUAUUGUAUCUUUUACCUCACCUGCUGACUGUCAGCUAGACCAACUGUGCCCAACUGCAUGGAGAGAUGUUUAAUCUUCACAGUGCUUUGUGGGAAAUUCUGGGUUAUUGCAGGGGUCUCUCCUUGAUGCCCAUCCUGGCAUAUUCUGAAGAGAGAGAGAGAAAGUCAGAGAGGGAAAAAACCCAAAACAGAAAUCUGUGCCUAAUUAAGAAUCUGAACAGUGUCUAUCUAAAAUAAGAAAACAAACCAGUUUAACCCUUUUCAAACUUACUUACCAAACAUUUUCUCGAUUGAUUUGUCUACGAUGUUUAGCUUAUGUUUGCCGGGUCAUUUUAGUUUCAUUCUUUAAGGUGUACUUCUUUCUGCUUGUUUUACUUUGUACCAAAUGUACUAAAAUUAGUCAAAAUACUUGAAUUUAUUUGUUUGUGUAAGUGAGCAGGCUUAGUAGUGGUGUCUAUGAAGCAAUAGCCAUGAACACUAAUUUUUUCCUCAAUAGAACGACAUGGUUUUAAAUUAAUGAUAUAAAAUAAUUUGUAUGACUGGUAAAGCAAUUUAGCAUGUUUCGAAUUGUCAUAUUUGUGCUAUAACACAAGAACAGAGAAAUAAGAAGAGCAAAAUAUCUUUUGUGUUUUCUCAAUUUGAAGCUUUAAUUUUAUCAUGUCUUCAGUUUUUCUAUGUAAAAAAAAAACUGAAUUAAAUUUAUACACAUAGUCUUAAAUCUUUUGUCAUCGUAUGGAGCCAUUGGAUAACUUUGGAUAGAGUCCAUGGAUGCUUUCAGGUGUUUCAGAGAUGCUGAAUUUGUGGUGUCUUAGAAAUCAAUGCUCUGCAGACAACAUAUUGAUGUGGUAAACUUUUUAAAAUUUCAAAGAAAUUAUCCUAAUCACACAGCUUGUAAAGUUUCCAAAUGAGAAUGCCAUAUAGUGAAUUCUCAAUUUAUAAAUAAGCCUGAAAUGAUUUUUUUUAUUUUUUAAUUCUAUUUUAGUCUAAAUGAAUUUAUGUAACUUUUACUAUCUGAAAAUCCACUUCCAUGUUAUAACAAAAUGUCCACUGGACAAAAUUUGAGUAUUGUUAAGGUAAUCUGAACCUUACACCAAUUUAAAAAGGCGCAAAUGUAAGGUUAGGAGCUGAUAAAAUGACAAUCUAUAUUUGACACCCCAAGAGAGAAAAAUUUAAUAUUUGAAUUUUAAUACAUGUUGUAUUUUUAAAACUGACACAGAUAUUUCAAAAUAAUUUACAUUGAUGUUUGAAUGCAUCAAAAUUGUGAUUUCAACAGGUUAAUUUAUUAUUUUGUGGAUAAGAUAAAUUACUGUUCUAUUAAUAGUAAUGUCUAACAUUAACAGUCUUUAAAACUUUUAUUUUUUAAUCUUAAUACCUAUAUCAUUAUUUCAAAAGAGUUUUGACCCAACAAACUUCAUAUGAAUCUUAGAUUUUGUGUUAAGAAUCUAUAUAAAUAAAAUAGAUAUUAGUUAUUGAAUGAAUUAUAAGUUAUAGCAAUUAUUUCUAUAUUAAAAUCAUCUCUUUAUUUUGAAUAAUUAACAGGUAUUUGUGCCUUUAUAAUAGCAUGACAUUCCUUUAAAGAAUAACUACAACUAAUAUAUGUGUUUUGAUCAUGCAUAUGACACUAAACCUGGAUUUUUUUACAAUCAAUUAAUAAACUUUACUGUAACACACAAUAUAUAUACAAUCAAAUUUAUUUUUAUUUAUAAUAAAACAACACUUUAGUCCAUUAAUAAGAUACUUUAGUUGGAUCUGUAUUGUUUUUCUAGAUGACAAGUCUGUAUUUGGAAAAUUAUGAUGUUAGCUCUAAGAAAUACAACAGAUGCUAUUUACAACCAGGGCGGUUACUAUGGGGUCACUUGGGUCUUCACUGUUGUAUGGAGAUCAUAAAUCAUCCAUGUGAUGGCAAGAUAAAUAUCAAAAUAUCUAUAAUUGAAAUAGUAAGAGAAGUUUACAUUUUUAAUUUAAAAAUAUUGGUGAUGCAUAUGAUAGCUAUUUAAAUUUACAUUAUUUUUCAUGGAAAAUAAUGUAAAUGUUUAGUUUGAUUUUCUCAUGGAAAAUUUAGAGGGACUGUUUCUUUUCAAAACAUUUCAUUAAAUCUUAAAUAAUUUACAAUAAAAUUUUUUUAUAUAUCUUCAAUUUCCACUCCUUAUUAACCCUUUGGAAUAGUCUGUCUAAAACUGAAAUAGCAUAUAGGUAGAAUUUCAUAUGCUAAACUUAAAUUGUGUUUGGUUGAAAAUUAAAAUUUAAUCACAGAAGUCAAAUUAUUAAAGAUAAUAUUAUAUAUAUAGUCUUAAUAAUAUUCAAAUAUGAAACAACUGCUUGUAUAAAUGAAAAUAUUAUAAAAGGCCUAGCAAUAGUAAGUGCUGAGUACAUGUAAUUUUCUUCCAGGCUUCACUCUUUUAUUAUUUUAAAUUGUGUUCAACCAUGUAGAUGGAGCUAUUUAUCAACACUAUACAAGAUUACUAAAAUAAUAACUAUUUUUUUCAUAUAAUUCUAUGACAUUUAUAUAUAAUGGUGAAUAUUUAUUUGUUAACAUAUUUAGUAGUCUUACAAACUAUUGAUUAUUACUUCACAGUUUUAUAAUAAUUUAAAUCAAUUAGUUAAUAUAGUUUCUUUAAUCUUAGUUUGACAUAAUUUUCUCAUUACUGACCAAGCAUUGUUCAUGAUGAUUAUUAUAGAAAUUUCCAAUGUAAAUGUAUAUAUCACAACUUUAUUCUUUUCUAAUUUACAAUCCUAUAUCUUUAAUGUCUAAUUUUAGCCUUGAAUGGAAGAAAAUAAGAAAAUGAUCUUUGGAGCAUUUCUAUCAAUACCAAACAGAAGAGUUAAGAUACAGAAAUGCUUAAUCAAGGGAUAAAAUCAUUUUUAUUUUUAGGUAAAUGGUUAUGCCAAUGAAAGUAGAGCAAAGACAAAACUCUAACAGCAUCUGAAAGAUCAUGUAACAGAGAUAAACUCUAUAAUUCAACUUGAAAAUAUGAUGUUUAAACUAACACCAUGCUAUAAAAUUAUAUCAUUAAAAACAAAAAACUAUUUUGCAUUUUCAAAAAAUGUUGUUUCUUAAGGAUUUGUCUCUAACCCUUUGAGAACAAAAUCAACAAUUGCAAAAGAGUUUAAAAACACAUUUGGAGGUAUGGAAAUUCUAUCUUUAUUCUCAAAUAAUAAAACAUGACAUCACAUAUUUUUUAACUUUUACAUUUUAUCCAAAUUGUGUAUAGUUAACUAUCAUGUUUUCUUAUUAUUUCAAUAUAGUAUGUCCUUAUGAAAUGCUGUAUAUAUAUGUCUAAACUGUAAAAAGUAUACUGCAAAUGUUGAAGUUUUGUAUUUAUGAAAGACAUUGAAAGUAUGGCUUAUGGUAUUUCAAAAUUGUCACUCUUCACCAUUUGUAUAUUAAUAGUAAAGAUACUUUUACUUUAAUAAAGUGUCAAAUUUUA